rnacentral:rRNA from 1 species
GACGAACGCUGGCGGCGUGCUUAACACAUGCAAGUCGAGCGGUAAGGCCCUUUCGGGGGUACACGAGCGGCGAACGGGUGAGUAACACGUGGGUGACCUGCCCUCAGCUCUGGGAUAAGCCUGGGAAACCGGGUCUAAUACUGGAUAUGACUCCAUGACGCAUGUUGUGGGGUGGAAAGCCUUGUGCGGCUGAGGAUGGGCCCGCGGCCUAUCAGCUUGUUGGUGGGGUGANGGCCUACCAAGGCGACGACGGGUAGCCGGCCUGAGAGGGCGACCGGCCACACUGGGACUGAGACACGGCCCAGACUCUUACGGGAGGCAGCAGUGGGGAAUCUUGCGCAAUGGGCGAAAGCCUGACGCAGCGACGCCGCGUGAGGGAUGACGGCCU